rnacentral:sRNA from 1 species
AGAAGCCCACUGUGGUCACUGUUGAGAUCUCCGUCAACAGCCUUGGUCCUCUCUCUAUCCUGGACAUGGAAUACACCAUUGACAUCAUCUUCUCCCAGACCUGGUAUGACGAACGCCUCUGUUACAACGACACCUUUGAGUCUCUUGUUCUGAAUGGCAAUGUGGUGAGCCAGCUAUGGAUCCCGGACACCUUUUUUAGGAAUUCUAAGAGGACCCACGAGCAUGAGAUCACCAUGCCCAACCAGAUGGUCCGCAUCUACAAGGAUGGCAAGGUGUUGUACACAAUUAGGAUGACCAUUGAUGCUGGAUGCUCACUCCACAUGCUCAGAUUUCCAAUGGAUUCUCACUCUUGCCCUCUAUCUUUCUCUAGCUGUGAGUACCUUCUUAAGUUUCUGGGGCCCCAGAAACAUGCUGGGCUCCUUCUUUUUCU